UAGCAACGCGGCAGCUACCAUGCAGUCGAGCGGUAGCACAGAGAAGCUUGCUUCUUGGGUGACGAGCGGCGGACGGGUGAGUAAUGCAUAGGAAUCUGCCCGAUAGUGGGGGAUAACCUGGGGAAACCCAGGCUAAUACCGCAUACGUCCUACGGGAGAAAGGGGGCUCCGGCUCCCGCUAUUGGAUGAGCCUAUGUCGGAUUAGCUAGUUGGUGAGGUAAAGGCUCACCAAGGCAACGAUCCGUAGCUGGUCUGAGAGGAUGAUCAGCCACAUCGGGACUGAGACACGGCCCGAACUCCUACGGGAGGCAGCAGUGGGGAAUAUUGGACAAUGGGCGCAAGCCUGAUCCAGCCAUGCCGCGUGUGUGAAGAAGGCCCUCGGGUUGUAAAGCACUUUCAGCGAGGAAGAACGCCUAGCGGUUAAUACCCGCUAGGAAAGACAUCACUCGCAGAAGAAGCACCGGCUAACUCCGUGCCAGCAGCCGCGGUAAUACGGAGGGUGCAAGCGUUAAUCGGAAUUACUGGGCGUAAAGCGCGCGUAGGUGGCUUGAUAAGCCGGUUGUGAAAGCCCCGGGCUCAACCUGGGAACGGCAUCCGGAACUGUCAAGCUAGAGUGCAGGAGAGGAAGGUAGAAUUCCCGGUGUAGCGGUGAAAUGCGUAGAGAUCGGGAGGAAUACCAGUGGCGAAGGCGGCCUUCUGGACUGACACUGACACUGAGGUGCGAAAGCGUGGGUAGCAAACAGGAUUAGAUAUCCUGGGGUAGUC
rnacentral:rRNA from 1 species